GGUUAUAGCUCAGUGGUAGAGCGUUCCCCUCGCACGGGCAAGGCCCGGGGUUCGAUCCUCAGCACCA
rnacentral:tRNA from 1 species